rnacentral:tRNA from 1 species
GCCUGGGUGGCUCAGUCGGUUGAGCAUCUGACUUUGGCUCAGGUCAUGAUCUCGUGGCUCAGUUUGUGAGUUCAGGUCCCACAUCAGGCU